rnacentral:rRNA from 1 species
UGCAGGUGGGCAGUUCGGCUGGGGCGGCACCCCUUUGAAAAGAUAUCAAAGGGGCCCAAAGUUGAGUUCAAACGGGGCAGAAAUCCGUUGAAGAGGGCAAAGCCAAAAACUCGACUGAAUGGAUUUCCAAACGCACGGAAUUCAUAGACGAAAGUCUGGCUUAGCGAUCCUUCGUGUGCCCACUAUUGGGGCCCGGAGGUGACAGAAAAAUUACCCCAGGGAUAACAGGCUCGUCGCGGGCGAGAGCUCCUAUCGACCCCGCGGUUUGGUACCUCGAUGUCGGCUUUUCCUAUCCUGGUCCUGCAGCAGGGGCCAAGGGUGAGGCUGCUCGCCUAUUAAAAGGGAACAUGAGCUGGGUUUAGACCGUCGUGAGACAGGUCGGUCUCUGCCUGAUGGAAGCGUGAAUAACUGAGGGGAAGUUGCUCCGAGUACGAGAGGAACAGAGCAGCGUGGCCACUGGUUUACCGGUUGUCUGACAAGGCAGGCCGGGCAGCUAAGCCGUUUAGGCUAAGUGCUGAAAGCAUCUAAGCACGAAUCCUAUCCCGAGACAAGUUAUUCUUUCGUAAGAUGAAGGUCGGCAGCAGAAGACUGCGUUGAUAGGAAGGUGGUGUAGAUCACAAGCUUCGGCGAGUGGUGAGCCAGCCUUUACUAAUAGACCAACACAUCGGUUCA